rnacentral:lncRNA from 1 species
GUCUCUAUUCGCAUUUACAGUGUGCCUCACUUUAAUGGAAUUCAGACACAGACAGGUACCAUAGUCGACAGCAGCUGAUAUGGAGAACACCUUGCAGACAUCCCCAACUUUGCAUUGGAGAUGGAUUCAUAGGAUUCAGAGGGCCCCUUCUUUGCCCAUUUUUGAGGAUAAAAAAACAAAAGAAGCAGCAGCUUACUCUGAGGUGACUUCUGCCAAUGAAAAUUUGAUAGAUCCUACCUUUAAAAGAAGAAGAAAAGUUAAAAAAAACAAAGGAUGGAUAAAGACCUGGACUCUUCCCUGCAUUACAGAGAAAGAAAAGCAGAGGAAACAAAAAAUAUAUUUAAGUGGUCUAAAUUUCAAAUACCAGUACUGAACACGCUAAACAGUCCCAGCUCUCAGGCUCUGAAGAGGUGCUCUGCUCCAAUCUUUUGGUCAUCGUGGUAGACCAAUGCUGGACUCUCUCCAGGAACGAGAAAGUUGAUUCAUGAGAAAAUGCCAAGAAGAAACAAUUUCCAGAGAUUCUGAAGAGCUGAAGACAUCAGCAUCCAAAUCUGGAUACAGAACUGGGACACCGUUGUAAUAAGGAGCAGUGCUAUUGUCUACCCCAUGGUUUUUACCAUUUUUUUGCUUAAUAUUCUUGCUAAUACUAAAGACAUCCACAAUUCUAUAUAUCUCCCAAGCUGUGUUGCAAAGACAUAGACAACAGAUACAUGCUGUGAUCUGCAGCAAGUAAAGAUCAAAAUGCUAAUUUGGUGUGGUUUUUAGUAGAUUGCUGAUACAAAAUACAUUUCUGUCCAUGAAGAAUUACAGUCUAUAUUCUAAUUCCAAAUAAAGGUUUAGGAUUAGUGAUCUUAGAGUAACAUGAAACUGGAAUAAUGAAACACCAGUCUGUGCUGUAAGAUGCUCUUGAGAAUUCAAGCACAGUACUUGUAAUUUCAGGGAAUAAUUAUUUCUCUGAUAAGAUCUUCCAUGUAAGAAACUUUGCAUGUUUUGUGUAUUGGUUUAUUGUACAAACAAACGGUUUUCAUUUUAUUCAUUAAUUAUAGAGAAAUGCAGACUGAAAUAUAGUUGCAUUUUGCCACAUAGUUCGUAAACAUCCUACCUCAUAUGCCUCAUAGUUAAAUAAUAACAAAGGCAGCAGAAAGAAGAAUUUAAUUGCAGAUAGAUGCAUUCCCUAGAUUCAGCCAGGCAAGUAAGUUCUGGAAACCUUUGGAAGAUAAGGACUACCUGAAAAAAAGAAACUUCGCAGCGAUUCUGUGAACUCACAAAUCAUUUCAUGUAUAAAUCUAGAAGUUGCAAUAGGUUCGUUUACACAUAAGUCAAGCAGCUGAAGCUAAGGAGAGCAGCAGAUGGUAAAAUAUUAUCCAUCAGUUCUUCUUACUGUCAUAUUUUUGUAGCCCCUGGGGUCUGAAACUCAGGUGAGCAAGAACUCUUUUCCUCCAUCUACUGAUGAACUGGAGUACGGGACAUAGUUAAUUUUCACAGAUAAUAUUUAUGACAAGAUGGAUGCUUUUGAAGUUUUGUUUACAGCUCAUUCAAGAAUAUGAAUAAAAGGAAAACCUACUUUCCUUAUCUGAAAAGCACUUCUGAGGAGAAAAGACCUGGCUCUUGUGUCACUGGUUUGUAUAAAACAGGAGUUCUGGCACGAGAUAGACAAAGAAUAAAAGAGUUUAGUUUUCAGCCUAUUCUUUCUAUAAUUCAAUUAAUUGAUCUUCAUCAUAGUAAUAUUUUCAGCUGCCUGAAAAUUCUGAAAAUGCCUGUUUUGGUUGCCUGUAAAUUCUAAUGAAUAUCUAAUCAGAAAAGAACACAGGAGUACAAAGCUGUUCUGGAUUUGAAGAUGCAACAAGGAGGUGAAAAGGGAUUUUUAUUCCCAACCAGAGAAACUUAAACUACUGUGGAAGAGGUAACAGCCUGGAGAUAAUGACCUCGCACUGCACUUAAAUGGGACUGCAGACCAGACAACAGCCAUCCUAAAGAAGGACAGAGAAGGAAUGGAGUAAAGAGAGGGCACUGUCCAAAACAGGACAAUAUCACAAGGGCAUUAUGACAGGAGAUGGCAGGAUGGCUGCUCGGAGAGUUCCUUUCCAUUCCAGAUGGAGUUCAUCCUACUCAAGUGUUCAUCUAUUCUCAGACUUCAGAGGAAAGACAUGACAGGGGGGUGGAACUAGAUGAUUUUUAAGGAUCUUCAAGGCCCUCUCCAUCCUAAGCCAUUCUAUGAUUCUAUGAUCACCAGGGCAAAUAUUUUCUGUUGAUGUAAGCAGGGGAGAUUGCCUCAUUUCCUCAAGUUUGUGAGGAAUGUCUCAAGCACACGUUCAUUAAUUUUAAGUGGAAUCCUGUAAUUUGACUUGAAAUCUGGCUUUCUUGAUCCCAGCAACUUCUCUCAGAAAAAGACACUUUAUAAAUAUGUCAUCACCCUUCAUUACUGAGAUGCCCAGUAUGUAAUGCUGGAUUGUGGAUUGUGAAG